AUGUUGACCUCAUCUGUGUACAGUGGUUGGUCGGGAUUUGGGUACAAACGACAGUUAAGAACACGCUGGGGCCGAAAGUCCCAUAAGCCAGUUGUAAGCGUUGCUGAGAGCCAGAAAAGCCUGGAAGAGAGGAGGCAAAGCCUGGGGCCGGGAGGUUCCUGGGAAGAGGAGGGAACCUGGGCAGACCACCUCUUGCGAAGACGGACUUCACAGAAGGAGCAGGGAGGUUCCCUUUUGGAGUUUCCACAUUAUCCCGACUCCCCUGGAUGUCACGCCAGGAUCCGGCUGCACCGUAUGUUGCAAGACCUCAGCCACCGCCGCGGAGGAACUGGCCGGGAAGCGUCAGGUGUACCGGGUGAAGGGGGUGAUGGGAAAUUCACUGGGAUGGUCUGGGAAGAGGAGAGGGCAGCUUGGAUCUGGGCCGGGGUUGAGGGAGGCUGGGGUGACCGGCUGUGGGCGGGAGGGACAGGAAGCAGCCCAGGGCGGCGCGGAGAUUCCACCUGGAGCAGGUGGCGCUUCAUUCACUACAAUGACAAGAAAGAGAAAGAGGUUUGGGGGGACAUGGAGCCCCAUUCUGGAUCCACAGUGUCUGCCGUGAUGCCCAGGAGCAGACGGGGGCCUCGGAGAGACACAGGCCCAGCCUGGAGAUUCGGACUUUUUAGCAGACACAGAAACCCCCAAACGCCAGGCAGAACUCAGCAGCCCUGGGGGGGGGGGGUCUCCUAGGAAGCAUGGGCAAUGCGGGAGUGCCCACCCCCGUGCAUUCACCUCCUACACAGAGAAGGAAGGUUGCCUGGAAAAGAGGGAGAAGAAAUGAGACCAGCGCCAUCCCACCAGCACAGGUUCUCCUUGGGGACGGGCAGACGGACCCCUGCCGUUCCCAUGCCUUAUCUAAAUUUCCUGAUGAAACUGGUAAAUGUACUGUUUGCAGUUUCCUUUCCUUUAGAAAAAAGUCUACAGUACAUCAGUAUAUAUGUUUUAAUAGCUUAUGUUACUGUAGUACUCAAAACUUUUUAUUUAUUUAUUUAUUUAUUUAUUUUUGUCUUUUUAGGGCUGCACCUGAGCAUAUGGAGGUUCCCAGGCUAGGGGUCCAAUCAGAGCUGUAGCCGCCGGCCUAUGCCAGAGCCACAGCAAUGCCAGAUCCGAGCCGUGUCUGCGACCUACACCACAGCUCAUGGCAACUUCGCAUCCUUAACCCACUGAGCGAGGCCAGGGAUCGAACCCACACCCUCAUGGUUCCUAGUAGGAUUCGUUUCCGCUGCGCCACAACAGGAACUCUUAGUACUCAGAAAUUUAACAAUUCCUUUAUUUCAUACUGUAAGGAGUCACUUAUUUCUUAAAAAAAAAAAAAAAAAAAAAAGAUGCUAAGACACAUCUGCUCUCCUGAGGCCCCCUGGAAUGGUGGCUGGACACUGGCAGGGACGUUGUGCCCCACAUUCGCUGCCGGUCUGUCAUCCAGGAACGAGGCCUGACGCAUGGUUUGCAGGAUGGAUGAACAGAGGCCAAUGUUGGCCUGUUCACGGUCGGCUGGUCCCUCUAGAGGAAGCAGAAGCAGUGGGUGUGGGUUGCGGGGAUGUGACUGCGAGAGCCGGCGGCUCCCUGCUCUUUUUGCCUGAGGUUCCGGAUACUGUGCUGGGUCAUGAUUUCUGCUGUCAGGGCGGUUCGUUCAGGAAACUCAACUUACGUGGUGAUCAGAUUUUGGGGGGCGGGUAGGUCAAGAAUUUUUGACUGUCCUGCGUCAGGUCCUAGGUGGCUUUGUCCUACUCUAACCACCAGCUGCGAGCCAUCCCAACAACUUAGGGGUUGUUAGGUUUGUCCCCAUGGGUGCCGGGGGUUCCAGAUUCCUCAGGGCAGACCCACGGGCCGUCUGGGCUUUGGGAACCCUGACCAAAAGCAGCACCUCCACAUCCUAGACACGGGUAACAGAGACUAGUGCCUGGAAGAAGAGGAGUUGGGGUGACGGGGAGUCGUCUUUCAGGGCCAGGCAGAGGGCGGCAGGUGGGAGAGGGAUGGAGAGGAGGGACCCUCCCAGGCAGGAGGAAAGGCAGGGAGGAGGCCAGCCUCCGUUUCUUUAUCUGGGCAGUGGGCUCCUGACUGCGCCCCAGGCUCCCCACUGCAUGGAAGCCCUGGUCCCCUCCCUUCCCAGUGAGUCAUCCAGGUGCAACCAGACUCAACACCCCUGGGAGAGACCAG
ensembl:lncRNA